GGGCAUGUAGUUCAGUGGUAGAGCACUUGCCUGGCAUGUGAGAGGCCCUGGAUUCAAUUCCUAGUACCA
rnacentral:tRNA from 1 species